GAUGAACGCUAGCGGGAGGCUUAACACAUGCAAGUCGAGGGGUAAAUGGUAGCAAUACUAUGAGACCGGCGGACGGGUGCGUAACGCGUAUGCAACAUACCUUGUGCAGGGGGAUAGCCCGUGGAAACGCGGAUUAAUAUUCCAUAGUCCAGCUAUAUCGCAUGGUAUAGUUGGUAAAGAUUUAUCGGCACAAGUUUGGCAUGCGUCUGAUUAGCUUGUUGGUAGGGUAACGGCCUACCAAGGCUACGAUCAGUAGGGGUUCUGAGAGGAUUAACCCCCACACUGGUACUGAGACACGGACCAGACUCCUACGGGAGGCAGCAGUGAGGAAUAUUGGUCAAUGGGCGGAAGCCUGAACCAGCCAUCCCGCGUGAAGGAAGACAGCCUUACGGGUUGUAAACUUCUUUUCUGUCAGAAGAAUAAGCUUGUCGAGACGAGUGAUGCCGGUAUGACAGGAAUAAGCAUCGGCUAACUCCGUGCCAGCAGCCGCGGUAAU
rnacentral:rRNA from 1 species